ACAUAUCUCACAGAUGCCUUCAUUUUCUUCUCAAUUCUUUUCGCCCGAUCACCACCACAUAUAUAAACUAUUAAAAGCGUUGAAACUGGUGUGAAAUUGAGAGAAAAAGAUAGAGAGAGAAACGAUUUGAGGAUGUUCUU
ensembl:ncRNA F18A11.12 ncRNA